CUGUCUCCCUCUGUGAUCUCAUCCACGCUCCUGGCUAUAAAAACCAUCUUCCUGGGGCUCCUUCUCACAUCUUCCCUCUUGCUGGGUCCCCUCGGGCCACGGGCGCAGAUGCAGAAUUCCGGGCACCAACGUCUGAUGGGCAUCUCGGACUCAACACAUCGAAACCCCAACUUCCGACUUGUAGCCAACCUCACUCUCCAGCUCCUCCUCCAGCCUUCACCUCGGUUUGUUCCACGUGAAUAAGGACAUGGUUUCCUUCCCUUGGCCUAUCCCAGAGGCUAGCACACGGCGGGUGCCCUUCUCGUGUUUUCUGGGUCUAGGCACGAACGUUCCUGCGCGGCUGCUGUGGUGCCGGGAUGCUCGCAGCGCUGUGCAAGCUUCGAAGGCUUCACGCGCCAGCAAUGCAGGUGCCCGAGGCAGAGGGGAGGGCGGAAGGAAGGAGCGAACCCUCUUGUCCUGAGGAUGCCACAGAAAAAGUCUCAAGAGUCUGGAGAUGAAGUUCCGCCCAAGAAUCACCACGUAAUGGAUGAAUUCACCGAACCAGGAGAGACUCACUCGGGAGGGUGAGGAAGGAAACUAAGUAACAUUAGUUGAGUUCCCGAAGGUGCUUGAAACAGGGCCUGCGAUGCAGCAUUUCACCAAUAAAUACGAAUAAAUACAUCGAGAGUAAGGACUCUGCGACCAUCACUUUGCAGAAUGUUCCCGGUUCCUGCUCACCACGCGUGCCCUCCAUCUUGCAAAUGAGGAGAAAGACUCUGAGAUAAGAGAAGGCUUGCUCAGGGUUCAGAGACAAGACGGAGAACCCCACUCCCUGAAACAGCUCCGGGGAAGGUUGUACACGCCACGCUCCCUGUCCCUUGGCCUGCUUUUUCCUGUGCCCUUGCACCUGUUACCACCAGCCAUGCUGGGCAUUCUGCUGAAUUAUUUAUGGUCUGUCUUCGCUCACCGGAAUAUAAACUCCCGGAGGGUAAGGA